GUUUAAUGUCUGUUUAACGUCUGUUUAAUGCCUGUUUAAUGCCUGUUUAAUAUCUGUUUAUCUGUUUAAUGUCUGUUUAAUGUCUGUUUAAUGCCUGUUUGAUAUCUGUUUAAUAUCUGUUUAAUGUCUGUUUAACGUCUGUUUAAUGCCUGUUUAAUGCCUGUUUAAUAUCUGUUUAUCUGUUUAAUGUCUGUUUAAUGUCUGUUUAAUGCCUGUUUGAUAUCUGUUUAAUAUCUGUUUAAUGUCUGUCUGAGACGUGUGUAUGGCAGGCAGUAGAAGUUGUGUUGCUACUUUGUAUCAGUUGAUCUGCCGUUUGUGGUUCAGUGUGCGUCCAGAGAAACGUAAGUUAUGUUGUUUAUUUGCUGGAUGUAAUGUCAUUGUUGUAUAUUUUAUCUGUUUAUAUGUCUGCUGGUUGAGAUUAUAUCUGAUGCUACAAUGCAUAUUUCUACUAGUGUUAACAAUUACCUCUGAUGGUGUAAAUGGUCAUUUAUGUUAUAUUUAUUCCACUGACCACUUCCUUUGUUGUCAGUUAAUAUGGGAUAUAUCAUAUAAUGUAUAUUCCUUCUUUAUAUGAUGUUCAUAUAAUUUCAUGCUAAGGAUGAUUAUAUUAUUAUUUAAUUUGUGUGCUAUAGUUAAGCAUAUUGUGACCUGUUAUUGAUGGCUGUUAUUGUUUUGGGUUAUUCCAGAACCACACUGGAUUAAAGCGCCAUAAAUGGAUUGACUGUCUCCUUCCUAAUUUGUAUCCAAGUCUUGGGGGAACUUUAGUGCCUGUCUCCUUCUCCUCUGUGGCUGAAUCAUCCCGUCUUCCUGCCUCACUGGAACUACAUCUCCCACAAUGCCCCGGGGCAGGACCAGGACCAGGCUGAAGGCUACUUGGAGCUGAUUGGUUCUCCUGUUGUGCUGGGUCCCGGUCCUGAGCUGGGAUUGGCUGCUGGUCCUGGAGGAGGGGCGGGGCUUAGCAGAGCAGUUGGAGUCAGAGAGGCUGCUGGUUUACUACAGAACAGAGAAGAAGAGGUUCAGUCGAGGAGAGCGAGACUUCAUGACGAGGAUGACUCGUCCUCUACAGCUCACCUGUCUGCACAUCAACACCCACUGAUCUCACCUGUACACUGACAGGAAGUCAGCAACAGGAAGAGGAGGAGCCAGCUCACCUGCACUUUAGUUUUAAUGUUUAAUGUUGAUAUAAGUUAUUAAAUCUUCUUUUAUUUCACACCACACACUGUUGUCAUGGCAACAUCACUGUCCCUCAUAAACCCGAGUCAGGUAAUAUUAUAAUAAUCAUCAAAAAUAAAUAAUAAAUUACAGAAGCAGCAGGUAUUGAUUUAUUUCAAUAAAACAAUUUAUUAUUAUUAAAAUAAAUAAAUAAUAAAUUAAUUAAACUCUAUUUUAUAUUAUUAUAUCACAGAGCUGCAGUGUGAUAUAAUAACAGAAUAUUAUUUAUUUAUUGAUCUGUGGUUUAUAAUAUGUGUAAUGAUGAUGAACAACCAGCAGGGGGCGUUUCACUGCUGCUGAGCAUCAACGCUCUGCUGCCUAGCAACAGAUGACACAGUGAGCAGCUGCUUUUUAAUUGGCUGACUUAUUAACAUUAAUAAUAAUAUUAAGACACUUUAUUUCUAUAUUUUGUUAUUUUUUGCUUUCAGUAAGUUAUUUUAAAAUAUUUGUGUUGAAUUUAUGAAACAUUAUAAAUAAAGUAAACAAACAGUUUGAUUUUA